UUUAUGUUUUGAACUUUAUUCAACUCAACUCCAGAUGAUGCAAUGCGCAUGUUUUGGCAUUUCAAUAAAAUAAGAUAGUUUCCCUCUAAAAUUUUACGUGCAACAAAUAUAGGAACAGCAACCAGUUUGCGUACUUCUUUAGAACUGGCAAACCU